CUACGGGGGGCUGCAGUGAGGAAUAUUGCACAAUGUGGGGAACCCUGAUGCAGCAACGCCGCGUGGAGGAUGACGCAUUUCGGUGUGUAAACUCCUUUUAUAUGUCAAGAAAAUGACGGUAGCAUAUGAAUAAGCACCGGCUAACUCCGUGCCAGCAGCCGCGGUAAUACGGAGGGUGCAAGCGUCACUCGGAAUCACUGGGCGUAAAGGACGCGUAGGCGGGGUGGAAAGUCAGGUGUGAAAUCCUACAGCUUAACUGUAGAACUGCACUUGAAACUUCUAAUCUAGAGUAUGGGAGGGGGAGAUGGAAUUAGUGGUGUAGGGGUAAAAUCCGUAGAUAUCACUAGGAAUACCUAAAGCGAAGGCGAUCUCCUGGAACAUUACUGACGCUAAGGCGUGAAAGCGUGGGGAGCAAACAGGAUUAGAUACCCGGGUAGUC
rnacentral:rRNA from 1 species